UAGUCCUGCAUUAUAACAGGGGACACCUUUGGUCCUUUGCCAUGUUAAGAAAGCAGCUUAAAACAAAAACCCUAGAAUCCUCAUUCAUUCAUUCCCUUGUCUUUUUUUGUUCCACCCUCUCCUCUUCUUCCUCGUUCAUUCCGAUCCCUUGGUGUUUUUAUUCCUUCCUCUCAUCGCAUUUCACCGACAAGGACUACCACCUCCUACUUGUCUCUGUUUUUAGCAGUAGAUCAAUUUAUCUUCUUCAAUCUUUCAUUCCUCUUUCUCACCUAAAAAUGAUCAACAAAGGAGGAGAGACAAAAAUCCUUUUCAAAUUCCGCAUUUCUCUCUCUAAUUCAUCACUUCAUCUUCACUUUCUCUCUCCUCUUUGACUACAUCGACGACGAUGACUUUCUUCAAUUUCUCGUCAUUUCCCCUUUUCAGUAUUAAUUUAUCAAUUUUUAGUUUUUUUUUUUUUUUUGAAUUUUUUUUUUUUUUUUGAAUUUUUAGUUUGGCGAUGUUGUUUAUUUAUGCUUGUGUAGCAUUUCUAAGCCCUCUUUUAUGGUUAGAAAUGCGAGAAAUCCCGCAUUAUAUUGUUGAUGAUUGUCGAUGACUGAUGCACUCUGGUAUAAAUGGUUUAUUGAAUUUUACUAUUGUGAGGGUUUUCUUUUAAGAGACUGCUGACUGAAUUUAACAGCAAUGAGCUAGUGAUCCCUCCCCAUCUCAAUAAACCCCCUUUUCAUUGAUUUCAUUGAGUAGGAUAUGUUUUCAUGUACUAAGUUACUUAUAAUCUCCUUUUACCUCAAAUAUUGAGUGCAUCUACACCGUAAUUUUCAACCUUGUCACAGAGUUUGAAAACCCCGAAGAGGUUUUGGAGAUCGUGAAACUUAUUUUUGCUAAAGUUGUUCAACAACCAAAUGAGAAGCCUGUCUGCGACUGAAGAUAUUGUUCUAUCUUUAUAACCUUCUUGAACACGCAUACAACCGUUUCUAUGUUUACUUGAAGGCCCUCAACCUGGCUACCAUUGGUAAAAUUACAUAGCAUGUUGUACCUUCCAUCAAGAAAAUUAACAGUUUCUUGAGUGAAUGGAAUCUUAGCAUCCAAGAUUAGAGAGAGAGCUUUUUCUUGCAAUUUUCAACGUUUUGAAAGAUAGCAAACUAGCAAAGGGAAAGGAAUCAUUUAAUUUCCUCUCGAAGUAUUUGGUAACUUUUUUCUACUGAGGAUGAACAAGCUUUGAGUGAGGCCAGAGAACAUGCCACCAAUGCUAUCAUAGAAUUUGUGAAAGGACCUGACAUGUUUCAGGCGAUCUCGGAUCAUGCGGUCAAUCACUCACUUUGCAUUCAUGUUUCCCAAGCAUGGUACUAAGCACUCGAUGAGAUACACAAUUCGAGACGCGUUUGUAUCCAAAAAAUUGGAACACUUUCCUUUAGACAUUGUUGUUUAUUUACUUAUUAGUUUUUUUUAUUUGAACUUGCUUUCUGGAUGUUACACAAAUUUCUCACCUUCCCAUCCUAGGGUUGGUGAAUGUGGGUUGAAUAAAUUAGACCAAUCGUUAGACGAGGCUCAAAGUGGUUGACGAAUGAAUGGAUAUGUGAUUAAAUUAUUAAUACGGAAUGAAUAAGUUGCAAAGGUGCCUCAAGUCAUUGAUGCCUUGUGUUUGGUUUGGAAAUUAUUUUCUGUAAUGAGUGAAUGAAAAAUUCUAUGAUCGAGAUGUACAGGAAAUUUGCUCAUUUUAUUGAUGAAAUUGGUGAAUAAAUAAACACAUAAACACAAUAGAGUCUACGAUGAAAAACCUAUGCUAGACAUAAUAGGGGAAUGGAAAUAAAGAAUCAUGAAAUCUUGCACGAUUGACGCGUCGUGCGCCUUGUCUUCAUUAGUUCUUACCGCUUGGAGGGACAAAUAGUAAUUUUUCAUCAACUAGAUCUUGAAUAACGUCCUUCAAAUUCCAACAUUGCUCGGUAGUGUGGUCUCUUCCUCGAUGGAACUUGCAGUGGUCAUUUGGAUUCCACUUAGCGCUCCUUUUUUCAGGUUUUGGCUCUAAAAAUGGCUCAAUAGGUAUGAUCAAGCCCUGACCGUAAAGGCAAUCAAAGGCCGCAUCACAAGUCAAUCCUAAAGGAGUAUAAGUUCUUCUUUUUUUUAGGUAACGUAGCAUCAAGAGCUAACACUUCAUGGAAAUCGACUUGGCUUACAUUUUUUGUAGUAUUUUCGUGUGUAGAAGACGAAGAAGAAGGAAGGACGUUCUUUUUGUUUUUCCAAGUGUUAUUAUUGUUACUACCAGGAGUCUUUAUUAGCUCGCACUACUUGAAAAAAAUUCUGACAGAACGAUUCUAACGGACACAAAAAUCCGUAUGAAAGUCCAAAAUUUCCGACGGAUUUUAUUUCCAUCAAAUUUCGAAGGAAUUUUAAUCCGCUGGAAAAUUCUUUAUUUUCGACGAAAAUUCCGUUGGAAAUGUUAUAUUUUCUGAUGGAAAUUAAUUCCCUCAAAAAUUUCCAAUGGAAAGUAAUUCUGACGGAUUUAUGAAUUAAAAAAAAGAAAGAAAAAAACACAAAACCCUAAUUAAAACAAAAAUAUUCCCCUCCUCCUUUGCUUUCUCGUUUCUCUCUUCUCUCUCAACACCUCUUUUCUUUUCUUUCUCUUCUCUUCUUCUUUUGGUUUAAUUUCUCUCUAUCUCACAACCUUUCCUACACUAGUCUAAUUUGCACAAAUUGAUACACUAACUAGUUUAAUCUCUCUAUCUCUUAGUCUUCGUGGUUCGACCCUUUACUUGCCGCUAACUAGUUUAUUGUAAGUUUAGGUAUUAUAAAUUUCUAAUUUGGUUAGGGUUAAUAGACCAACGACCUACUCUUACCCUCGAUCAACUAGGUCUCAACAGCAACCUAAAAACCAUAAAAUUUACAAUGAAUGCCGAAAAAUAACAUCAAGGUCGAGAAUAACAUGUUGCAAGAUAAAUUCUUACACAAACAGAAGAGGUGCCUCGGCGCAGCUGCCCACGCAGCGCAAAUACGAAUUCCACUCAUGACUUGCCUCGGUCACACCAGCUGGAUCUAACAGGGAAUCUAUUGAUCGCUCCGCGACGCCGUUGAGGGGCCAAUCCCAAAAAUUACUCAUAGAACCACAGCUUCAAUGAAAAGUAAUCUCUAAGAACAUGAGUUAAACUGGUUAAAACAGGACAAGAAGAAGAAAGAUCGUCACCUCUACAACUCUUCAUAAACCGUAGACAGCGACAGGGGCCUAGUCAUUCAGCUGCCUGCAGACAUGACGCAACGACGAGAGUAGAUCAGCAUAUCCAUUGCUAGCCUAAAUAUAGGAUCUUAUCUCUCCGAUCCUAACAAGAGAAGGAAGAUAGAAAACGAGCACACGUGAACUCCUAUCAUGAGAAAGAGUCCAAGAAAUGAGAAUCAUGAUAAAGAUUCGCACUCGCUACUCAGGUGUCGUCUCAGCCAAGUCAAAGCCAUGGGCAAGAACAAAAGCCAACUCUAACCACCCGGUCUUAGGACCACCUCGAGGCACCGGCCGAGUCCUUAUAUGUCAGACCGGACCUAACAAAUCUGCUACCUCAGCCGCUCCCCAAGUGAGGUCAAGAAUCUGCCGUACGACCCGCUCGAUGAAGCGUAAGUCGUUGAUCAUGUUAAAAUCCAGAGGUGUCACUAUCAUCUCCCCCAAGCAAAGUGAAAAGUGUUGGUAGUAUCCCAAAAAAUACUCCAACAACGCACAAACAACUGUCGAGCCACAACCCCAGGGGCUGCGAAAUUCUACGACCACAGAAUAGAAAUCUCCUAAACCAGCAGAUUCCCACAAGGCGUUAGUGACUAGAUCCCUCGUGAUAAUCCUGUAUAGCCAGGGAAUCAAAUCUCCAGCUCCGGAUCCAUGAUGGCGAAGCGUGCCAUCGACUACGCCGGUAAGUGGACGGUGAGAAAUAUGGUUCUCACGAUAGGAAACCAACUAGUCUGGUGUACACGGAGGUGGAAUCCACCUACCCUUACUCAUAGAAGGGCGAGGCUCAGUCUCUAAGGCAAUUUCGUCCAUGCCCUCAGGAAUUGUGGGGUUAUCCUCUCGAAAAGCCUCACGCCGACCAUGAAGUAGAAAGAUCGGAAUCCCAUUGUCUAGGCAUGCUAUUACAAAAAAAAAAUCUAAAUACUUAUCAUCAUUUCUUAAGUUAUUUAGUUAUUUAUUCAAAAGUGGCUUAACGGCUACCUCAAGUUGUAUUUUCUGUUAUACGCAAAAUUUUUAGCCCUAGACUAUAAAUUAGAAAAAUAAUAGAAUUAUUUCUAGUAUCUAGUUUCUCGAUGACGAACUAACACUACUAGAAUUUCCGUGUUUUAGGGACGCUUUUUAGGCCUAUUCUCGACGCCAAAAAGCGUCGUUAUUAUAUUUUUUCGACGCUUCAAAAAAGCGUCGAAAAAAGCUGAGUCGAGAAAUUUGUUAGACACUAUAAAGCGUUGCAAUUAUCGACGCUUUUUACUGUCUCGAAAUGUGUACUAAGCGUCGCAAUUCACACAGUUCGCGCAAUUUCUCAAAUUUGGCGACGCUUUUACUUGUCUAUAAUCUUACAAUUGGCGACGCUUUUUUAUGUUCAGAGUUUCAUACCUUUAAUGUCUUUUACUUUAGUGACGCUUUUUUUUGUCUAUAUUUUCAAAGUUGACGACACAUUUUCUUGUCCUUUUCUUUAAAAAUAUUUUUACAAUAACUUUACCCAAAAAUAUAUAAAAUUUCAGUCACUAAACCUAUUACUAACUAGUAUACUUGUAUUAACUAAAAAAUUAAAUGUACAACAAUAUUAUGCCAAAAAAGAAAAAACUCGCUUCACGGGAUUCUCCACCGUCUGACGGACCAUGCCACCGUGUCGCGGGAUUUUACCACGUGACGCGGGGCCCAUCUGUGUGUCCUGCACGCUGUUUAAAGCUCCUAGCGAAUACUUUGGCAUCUUUGACUAAGUUGGAAUGAUUUUCCACAACUUUUGGACAUUUUUUUUCUCAUCGGAAUGACGCAAAAAAUUCUAAUUGAUAUUUUAAUGGUACCAAAAUUACCAUUUUACCCCUAACAAGCAUUAGGGUCAAAUUUUUAAUAAUUUAAACACCUAUAUGGUCGGAUAGUCGACUUGAAGGUAAAUCAUCUGCGGCCUAUGUUCGGAGAUAAUCGAACCAUCAUACACUUGCAAAUCUCAUCCGACAAGUUUUUUCCUCAAGCGUGGAAAAUUGUCGAUCGUUGUCACCUAUCAAAGCAAAUAAGUGAGUGAUUAUAUCAGUUGUAAGUUUUCCUCAAGCAUGGAAAAUAUUAUCGGUGGAUUUUUUUCAAGUAUAGAAA